CUUGCCGCUCUUCGCUGCGGUAAGCCUGUUGCAGCUGCUCCCCAGAAGGAGCCCCGGGCUCCUGACGGAGGGUGGGAGGCUUGGGGUGGUGGGAUUGGACCUUCUCGCGUCUUCCCUUCACAUCUUGCCCUUCCAGAGCCUGGCGGUGCUCUGGGGAGUCAACACAGGGGGAUAGAGCGCCUUUCCCUCACAGAAACCCAGUGCGGAGCCGUUCGCCUCCGCCCUGCAUCCUGUCGUGAGGCACAAGCGUCCCUGUCCCUCCCCCCUCCCCGGCCCCCCUCGUUGCCCCUCUCUUCAGAUUUCUCUCUGCCGCAGGGAGCGGCGGAGGCCGCACGCACCCCCAGGGCGGCCGCCCGGCGGGGAGGAAGGCGGCAGAAAGCGCCCCACGGUCCUGGCAAGGCCUUCAGAUGACCCCGAAGGCUUUGCCCGCUGGCCUGCCGCGCUCGCCUGCUCCCAGCCUGGGCAGGAGGCAAUGCACAGGGCAGGCCUUCCCAGUGGGAAGCGCUGGGGACCUGGACUCGUGCCUUUGAGCGCCUAUAGAGGUACUAAGCAACUUUGAAAUAUUUUAGACAUGGAUGAUGACACCUAAAUUAGAAGCAAUGCUCAAAACUUCUUAGGAAUGAAUAAUACCUUCUGCUAGAAGGUUUCUCAAGUCUGUUGGUGCUUUAUGUGAACCUACAUGAUAAAUGUCUUGAAUGAAAAGAGUUCCUUGUAAUUGGUUGGUCUCCAGGUACGUUGCAUAAAAAAGGAUUAAAAAAAUAUUAGUGGAUGUAUUGCCUUCUAUAUCUAAAUUUAAUUUAUUCCUUACCCGAAAACAAAAACUCCAGCAAUAGUUUGGACUAGUGGAAACCUGUGUGGUAAUUGUUAGGACUUCAUACAGAUUUAGCCAAUCCAAAUCAGAAAAAAGUCAGGAAAGCUUGUGAUUGUUAUUGGAUCAGUUUAUUCUAACAUUUCCUCUAGUCUGGCUGUCCUGUGGAAUGGAAUCCAUACUAGUGGUAUGGGAAAGGAAAAUCCUGUCCUGCACAAAUGAAGACAAUUAUAUUGAGAAUUGGCUCUGACUUAAGGGUUAUUUAAUGUAGCAUGUUUAUAUAACCCAACCUCAGGCCACCAGUUACCACUUGUAUAUAUGUGAUGCAGACUGCAAAUUAAAGAAAAUUUGCAGGGAGGAAAGCAGCAUGUGCAAGGGAUUUGAACCGAUAUUAAACAUCAGCUUAGGAUUUCAUGAGUUGCUGAUUUCUGAAUUCAUACUAGAUGACUACAACCUGUAAUAUGUUGUUUUGAAAGUGGAAUUGAGACCAGCAAUGGCUAAAACUGCACAUCUUCAAUGAUCAUGUUUAAACAGGAACCGUGCCAUUUGCUGAAACAAGUUUCCUCAAACUGCUGUAACUUAUUUCUAUGUCUAUAUGUAUUAAUUGAAAUAAAAUGAAAAUGCUACCAGAA